rnacentral:rRNA from 1 species
UACAGGGGGUGCAAGCGUUAUUCGGAAUUAUUGGGCGUAAAGCGCAAGUAGGCGGUUCGGUAAGUUCGGUGUGAAAUCCCUUGACUCAAUCAAGGAAGUGCAUUGAAUACUGCCAAACUAGAGUACAGGAGAGGUGAGCGGAAUUCCAGGUGUAGAGGUGAAAUUCGUAGAUAUCUGGAGGAACAACGGAAGCGAAAGCGGCUCACUGGACUGUUACUGACGCUCAGUUGCGAAAGCGUGGGGAGCAAACAGG